ACAUAUUCUAGAGCCUGAUUCAUUAUAUUUUAAUAAAUAUAAUUACUGCCAAAUCCUAAAAAAAUAAAAUUUACAAAUUUAAACUUAUAAAUGUAGCCCAUCUCUUCUUUUAAAAGCUGCACCUUGAUUUGAUUUAAGAUAAAAUUUUAUAUAAAGAAAAUUCUAUUUCUUAAGAAAUAUUCAUUUUAACAACGAUAUACAAACAAUUAUAAAAGUAAAAUAAAUUGUGAAUUAUCAAUUACAGGACAGGCUCCUCUGAAAGGUUAGAAUACCGCCAAGACAUUUAAUUUUGAAGCACUUAACUAAUACUAAUCCGGUUUUCAUUAUUACAAUUUAAAUAACAGGGUAUCUAAUCCUGGUUUAUAAAUAAAUUUUUCUAGAUCAUUUAACCUAUCAAUUCAAUCUUUACAUUAAAAUUUCACCUCUCAAUAUAAAAUUUCAAGAUUUUGAAAUAAUUAACUAAAACCGUAAAAAUUAAGUUACCCCUUUUGUGUAACCGCA
rnacentral:rRNA from 1 species